rnacentral:rRNA from 1 species
CGUGCCAGCAGCCGCGGUAAUACGUAUGUCGCAAGCGUUAUCCGGAAUUAUUGGGCAUAAAGGGCAUCUAGGCGGCCAGACAAGUCUGGGGUGAAAACUUGCGGCUCAACCGCAAGCCUGCCCUGGAAACUGUGUGGCUAGAGUACUGGAGAGGUGGACGGAACUGCACGAGUAGAGGUGAAAUUCGUAGAUAUGUGCAGGAAUGCCGAUGAUGAAGAUAGUUCACUGGACGGUAACUGACGCUGAAGUGCGAAAGCUAGGGGAGCGAACAGGAUUAGAUACCCUGGUAGUCCACGCCGUAAACGAUGA